GAAUGGGAUCUGAAAUUUUGUGUACGCUCUAUUUCUUAUUCUUGGAGGAAGCUGAAGAAACUGAAGUGACUGGAAGAAGAUCCCAUCCAUAGGACAGAGGAAUCGGGCUGAAAGCACAGAGGUUCGCUAGUUUCCUGGCAGCACAGCUGAGAUUUGAAUCCAAACAUCUGACUCCAGAGCCCACGUCCUUGAGCACUGCGCUGAGCCGCAUGCCUCUCACCGGGCCACAA